CCUACGGGUGGCAGCAGUGGGGAAUAUUGCACAAUGGGGGAAACCCUGAUGCAGCAACGCCGCGUGAGUGAAGAAGUAUUUCGGUAUGUAAAGCUCUAUCAGCAGGGAAGAGAAUGACGGUACCUGACUAAGAAGCCCCGGCUAACUACGUGCCAGCAGCCGCGGGAAUACGUAGGGGGCAAGCGUUAUCCGGAUUUACUGGGUGUAAAGGGAGCGUAGACGGCAGCGCAAGUCUGGAGUGAAAUGCCGGGGCGCAACCCCGGAACUGCUCUGGAAACUGUGAAGCUGGAGUGCAGGAGAGGUAAGCGGAAUUCCUGGUGUAGCGGUGAAAUGCGUAGAUAUCAGGAGGAACACCGGCGGCGAAGGCGGCUUACUGGACUGUAACUGACGUUGAGGCUCGAAGGCGUGGGGAGCAAACAGGAUUAGAUACCCGAGUAGUC
rnacentral:rRNA from 1 species